CUCACAGCCAGCUUCUACUGUCUUCUGCCUACUAACCAAGAACCAAGGGAAUUUGGCUACAUUCCUUGUAGUAUUCAGAAAAAAUGAGAAGAAUCCGUAACAAUUCUCAUCACUUUAUACAGUGGGGCAUGUUAAGCCCAUGUGGAGUUUUUAAGGGUGAGCCAGGACUUACAGAGGUGAACACAUGCUUGUGGCAUCAAAUGAGUUCCUGAGGAAGUAAUUAUUCACACGGUGAGGUGCAUGACAAUGAGGAUAGCAGAAUCCACUUUCAACUUGGGAUCUUCCAUCAAUUUUCAUUCUACCUGGGGUGAUCUGCUCCCAGGGAGUCUGAACCAAGAAGUUGUGCCCAUAAAGGGAAAGUAACUAACUAAGAAACUAAUACCUACCUACCUAACUAACUGCCACUCUCGGAGGCUUCUUAUGAGAUUGUCAA